rnacentral:rRNA from 1 species
GUGCCAGCCGCCGCGGUAAUACGGAGGGUGCAAGCGUUGUUCGGAAUUACUGGGCGUAAAGCGCGUGUAGGCGGCCUUGCAAGCCAGACGUGAAAGCCCUCGGCUUAACCGGGGAAGUGCGUCUGGAACUGCUCGGCUCGAGUACGGGAGAGGGAGGCGGAAUUCCCAGUGUAGAGGUGAAAUUCGUAGAUAUUGGGAGGAACACCGGUGGCGAAAGCGGCCUCCUGGACCGAUACUGACGCUGAGACGCGAAAGCGUGGGGAGCAAACAGGAUUAGAAACCCUGGUAGUCC